GACGAACGCUGGUGGCGUGCCUAAUACAUGCAAGUCGAGCGAGACUCUUCGGAGUCUAGCGGCGGACGGGUGAGUAACACGUGGGCAACCUGCCUGUAAGACUGGGAUAACACCGGGAAACCGGUGCUAAUACCGGAUAAUCCUUUUCCUCUCAUGAAGAAAAGCUGAAAGUCGGUUUCGGCUGACACUUACAGAUGGGCCCGCGACGCAUUAGCUAGUUGGUGAGGUAACGGCGCACCAAGGCGACGAUGCGGAGCCGACCUGAGAGGGUGAUCGGCCACACUGGGACUGAGACACGGCCCAGACUCCUACGGGAGGCAGCAGUAGGGAAUCUUCCACAAUGGACGAAAGUCUGAUGGAGCAACGCCGCGUGAGCGAUGAAGGCCUUCGGGUCGUAAAGCUCUGUUGUUAGGGAAGAACAAGUACCGGAGUAACUGCCGGUACCUUGACGGUACCUAACCAGAAAGCCACGGCUAACUACGUGCCAGCCGCCGCGGUAACAC
rnacentral:rRNA from 1 species